AACGAACGCUGGCGGCAUGCCUAACACAUGCAAGUCGAACGAGACCUUCGGGUCUAGUGGCGCACGGGUGCGUAACGCGUGGGAAGCUGCCCGUAGGUUCGGAAUAACUCCCCGAAAGGGGUGCUAAUACCGGAUAAUGUCUUCGGACCAAAGAUUUAUCGCCUUUGGGUGGGCCCGCGUUGGAUUAGCUAGUUGGUAGGGUAAAAGCCUACCAAGGCGACGAUCCAUAGCUGGUCUGAGAGGAUGAUCAGCCACACUGGGACUGAGACACGGCCCAGACUCCUGCGGGAGGCAGCAGUGGGGAAUAUUGGACACUGGGCGAAAGCCUGAUCCAGCACUGCCGCGUGGGUGAUGAAGGCCUUAGGGUUGUAAAGCUCUUUUACCCGGGAUGAUAAGGCCGGUACCGGGAGAAUAAGCUCCGGCUACCUCCGU
rnacentral:rRNA from 1 species